rnacentral:rRNA from 1 species
AUGCUCCUUGCAAACCUUGGCCUAGGCCCACCCCAGUAUGAGUAUGUUGUCCAUGAGGAUAGUAAAGUUCGCGUUACCGUUAACUUCAACACUUCUGGUCUGGAUCCUGGAGGCUCAAUUGUUGACGUGUCUGUGCCUGGAGAGUAUUGCAUGGACGAGGUCACUGCUGAAGAUAGCGCUGCUAUCAAAGCAGUCAGAUACAUAGAAACUAUGACCAACACGGUUGUCAGAGACAUAAACUAUGCAAAAGCAAAGCGCCAGGAAAAUCGUAUCGCCUUCCUUGAAAAUCGGAUCAAAGAAUCAGAAGUCAAAGGCAAGAAGCUUAGCAGAGAUGAUGAUAUGGAGAUCGUAGAGAUUUCGGGUACAUAUCUACUUGGAGGUAUAUUAGAUAAGCUCGACCUUCCAACACCGCUCUAUCACUCUCAGACACAUCCAAGGGGCCAGUUUGUGACUAAUGUUACAUUUUAUCCCUCGAAAGAGCAUCUACGACACCCGCCUACACCGGUCCAGCUCUCGAGCUCUCCCCUGCAUAACUUGCAGAGCACAAUAGAUGUAGUAUCUCAAAAGGCAAUACACUAUAUGGAAGAUAACCAAAGGAAGGUCUUGCAAGACUACAACUAUAUUGAAUUGAAAAGAUCAGAGGAGGCCAACUUACAACUUACUGACCUACUAGCUGAGAAAGAUGAAAGGAUCAAAGGAUUAGCAACGACCACUGGUAACUACAUAGGUACUGUCUUUUCAAUCUGUGAUCGGAUAUCUUCCUUGGUUGUAUCUGAGUCACUUCCACCUGGGCCCGCGCUAGGCGUUGAGUGGGCUAGGAAGAUUUCAGAAGUUAAUCGUGUUGUUACUCGCCUGAGCAAGCUUUCACAUGAUGCGCUUCAGCUCCUCGGAGUUGCAUUUGGUUAUCCAGAGGAACAGAACGACGGUGACUCGGAUGGCCACAUCCUCGACCUUUAG